rnacentral:rRNA from 1 species
GUGUCAGCCGCCGCGGUAAUACAAAGGGGGCUAGCGUUGUUCGGAAUUACUGGGCGUAAAGCGUGCGCAGGCGGCUUUUCAAGUCAGGGGUGAAAGCCCAGAGCUCAACUCUGGAACUGCCUUUGAAACUGUUAAGCUUGAGUGCGGGAGAGGUGAGUGGAAUUCCCAGUGUAGAGGUGAAAUUCGUAGAUAUUGGGAAGAACACCGGUGGCGAAGGCGGCUCACUGGCCCGUUUCUGACGCUCAUGCACGAUAGCGUGGGGAUCAAACAGGAUUAGAUACCCCCGUAGUCC